UCUUCCGAUCUGGGCGAGAGAGCACAGCCUCGGCGACUCUGAUGUCGCGUUUAUGUAUAGAUGUCUUAAGGCUGUGCUCUAGGAUGGUCUUUUCUGAAACACCCGCCGCUCGGCCGAUGAAUCUGCCGAUAGCGUCGCUUCCAUCGUCCGUGUAAUAGACACAGGUGUUAGUGUGUCUAGUGAUUGCCACAACUGCGUGAGGAACACUUUCGUGUA